rnacentral:rRNA from 1 species
CCUACGGGGGGCAGCAGUGGGGAAUCUUGCGCAAUGGGCGAAAGCCUGACGCAGCCAUGCCGCGUGAAUGAUGAAGGUCUUAGGAUUGUAAAAUUCUUUCACCGGGGACGAUAAUGACGGUACCCGGAGAAGAAGCCCCGGCUAACUUCGUGCCAGCAGCCGCGGUAAUACGAAGGGGGCUAGCGUUGCUCGGAAUUACUGGGCGUAAAGGGCGCGUAGGCGGACAUUUAAGUCAGGGGUGAAAUCCCAGAGCUGAACGCUGGAAAUGCCUUGGAGACGGGGUGUGUUGAGUGUGAGAGAGGUAUGUGGAACUCCGAGGGGAGAGGUGAAAUGAGUAGAUAUGAGGAAGAACAAAAGUGGAGAAGGCGAAAUAGAGGAUAAUUACUGACGCUGAGGCGCGAAAGCGUGGGGAGCAAACAGGAUUAGAUACCCGUGUAGUC